UACGUAGGUGGCAAGCGUUGUCCGGAUUUAUUGGGUUUAAAGGGUGCGUAGGCGGCUUUGUAAGUCAGUGGUGAAAUACUCCAGCUUAACUGGAGGGGUGCCAUUGAUACUGCGGAGCUUGAGUACAGAUGAGGUAAGCGGAAUUGACGGUGUAGCGGUGAAAUGCAUAGAUAUCGUCAAGAACACCGAUAGCGAAGGCAGCAAGCUGGGCGACACCUGACGCUGAGGCGCGAAAGCGUGGGUAGCAAACAGG
rnacentral:rRNA from 1 species